rnacentral:rRNA from 1 species
AACGAACGCUGGCGGCAUGCCUAACACAUGCAAGUCGAACGAGACCUUCGGGUCUAGUGGCGCACGGGUGCGUAACGCGUGGGAACCUGCCUUUAGGUUCGGAAUAACUCAGAGAAAUUUGAGCUAAUACCGGAUAAUGUCUUCGGACCAAAGAUUUAUCGCCUUUAGAUGGGCCCGCGUUGGAUUAGCUAGUUGGUGGGGUAAAGCCUACCAAGGCGACGAUCCAUAGCUGGUCUGAGAGGAUGAUCAGCCACACUGGGACUGAGACACGGCCAGACUCCUACGGGAGGCAGCAGUGGGAAUAUGGACAAUGGGCGAAAGCCUGAUCCAGCAAUGCCGCGUGAGUGAUGAAGGCCUUAGGGUUGUAAAGCUCUUUUACCCGAGAUGAUAAU